rnacentral:lncRNA from 1 species
AUGACAAGGAUCUUGAGUAAUAAUAGCUGCUAUUUUUGGAUGCUGACCAUGUUAUUGGUAUUUUAUCAGUUAAUCCUUACAAUAGCCCUAUGCUUCCCUAUAGUAAAUGUCACUGAAGUUGGUCAGUAUCUGUUUAUCUACUUUUUUCUAGGCACAAAGGAGGCUGCUUUUCAGCCUGAUUAUUGGAGAGGGUGCGAGGUCCCAAGCCAGUUCAUGUCUCAGGUGAGAAAAUGGAAUACCAGCUGUCACAGGACCAACUUGGAGUCCGAGAAUUGAAUACACAAAAAAGGAAAUAUAUCUCCUUUGUCUUCCAUCUGAUCACUCCUGACAUCUGUGCAGUAAAUAUGGAUUAGAUAAAGACGCAAGUACUAAAUUUCUUUUGUUGCUUUUAACUCAUAAAAUCAGAUUAUUAGUGUGAGUAAGGAAAGAGCCUUUUCUGUGAACACAUGGCAACUUAAGGGUGAUCCUGUAAAUGAAGGAGGCACGCGUGUGUGUGUGUGUGUGUGUGUGUGCGCGCGCGUGUGUAUGCGUGUGUGUGAAUUAUCCAACCUCAGGAUAUGUGGGGUGGGGAUACAGUACUCUUAUGGUGCAAAUGAUGGGAAAUUCAAUAGCAUAUUGUGCGAAAAGGCAGGAAAUCCUAGUAUCUAACUGGUGGGGAAUUCAGAUCAAAGAGUUACAUUUUGUUUGCUAAGGAGAGAAUUACUAGGUUAGAAUCUGAUUUACUUAAUUUGGGAUAUUAGAGUGGGGCUAAGAAAAAAACCUAAUAAAUAAAUAUCAACACUUAUGAUUUACUGUGCU